GCUCCCAUGGCGUAGUGGUCACUGCGCUCGCCUUGCACGCGCAAGACCCGGGUUCGAUUCCCGGCGGGGUCA
rfam:Asian citrus Psyllid, Diaphorina citri - Florida Strain, whole genome shotgun sequence.